rnacentral:misc_RNA from 1 species
CCGAGUAGGAUACCGCAGUAUGUUGCACAUGCACUGAAGGAAAAAGAGACUGUGGGAAAGGAGGAGAAGGAGAGAGACGGAAAAGUGCAUACGCGUCGCGCAAGUAUGGCGGUAAUCCUAUCAGCUGAUAGCGUCCGUCGUUGGGAUGACGGACCAGAUUUUGGUUAAUCGGAUUAGAUUAUAGCAAGUACCCCUCCUCCAUCGCCGUAGAUGACCGCAGGUUGCGUGUGCUGCUAUUUUACGCUACGUAUCUACCAGUAUAUAUGAAUACGAAUGACGCAUAGACGCAUAGGAUGCUGAUGCACCUCGCAUACGAGACACUACGACACCAGGAAGGAACCGACAACAAGUCAGUCACGUCGUUGACAAGCGGUGGAGAAUCCGCGGGAAUGUCGCAAGGUGUAAACAGGACAUCGUCGAGUCGGAAACUGAAAGGUUAAGAACCUCGACCUCGACUUGACUACGUUUGAGAGAGAAACCGCGAGAGCGAGUCCGCUUUGAUCGCGGAUCAAUCUGUGAUGAGCGACUCCGAACAGCGGCAAUUGCACGUGCCUUAUCGAGAGUACCACAGUCAGAACAAUACCAGUCCCGCGGUCACUCUCGUGGAGACCGAUGCGCUGGUGGAUCUGUCCAUCGGCAAUCACCAUCAGCGCCUAUCGUCGCAGAACGAGCGACAGUCGCCGGCGGCGCCGCCGCCGCCACCGUCAUCGGGGGACCUCCUACCCGACGUCGAAUUCAUUCCCGGUUUGAGCAACGACCAAACCCUAGCCAUAGAUUCCUCCGGGAUCGACCGGGAGAGCCAGCCUCUCCUCGGUCGUUUGGAGCUCGACGUUACGUUCAACAGAUUUCCAGAUGAUCCACAGUUCACGGAACUGGUGUGGCAGGCUGAGUGUGCAAUAGACAAUGGGGUUUAUCCAGAGAGGAUAUACCAGGGUUCCAGUGGUAGUUAUUUUGUCAAAAAUCCUGCAGGGAAAAUAAUAGGUGUAUUCAAGCCAAAGGACGAGGAGCCCUAUGGCAGAUUGAAUCCAAAGUGGACAAAAUGGAUGCACAAACUUUGCUGUCCUUGCUGCUUCGGCAGGAGCUGUCUCAUUCCAAAUCAAGGAUACUUGAGCGAAGCGGGAGCCAGUCUGGUCGAUCGUAAACUAGGCCUCGGCAUCGUACCAAACACUAGAGUAGUGAAACUCGUCAGCGAGGUAUUCAAUUAUCCACGUCUGGAUCGUCAAAAGGCACGCAUGAAACAGGCUAUCAUGGAUCAGUUUCCUACAGUGGGAUCGCAUUUCAAUCGUAUUGGUUUGCCGCCAAAGGUCGGUUCCUUUCAAGUCUUCGUAGACGGUUACAAGGACGCUGACUAUUGGCUGAGGCGAUGGGAAAACGAAUCCAUGCCGGCGCACCUGAGUCGAGAAUUUCAACUUCAAUUCGAGCGGUUGGUUAUUCUGGAUUAUAUCAUCAGGAAUACAGACAGAGGUAACGACAACUGGCUGAUCAAAUAUGAUACUAGCGUCAGUAAAAAUGGAUCUGAGCAGGGUGAGGUGAAGAUUGCAGCAAUCGACAACGGCCUGGCUUUUCCUUUCAAGCAUCCGGACUCUUGGCGGGCGUAUCCUUAUCAUUGGGCAUGGCUGACUCAGGCAAAACAACCGUUUAGCGAGGUCACGAGAGAACUAGUUCUGCCGCAACUCUCGGAUCAGAACUUUGUACAGGAUCUUUGCGACGAUCUAUAUCAAUUGUUCAAACAAGAUAAGGGCUUUGAUCGUCAUCACUUUGAUAGGCAAAUGAGUGUGAUGCGUGGUCAGAUCUUGAAUCUACAACAGGCCUUGAAAGACGCCAAAAGUCCUGUACAAUUGGUACAAAUGCCGGCUGUAAUUGUGGAAAAGGCCAAAGGAAACGGCGCUCCUAGGUUGUUUUCGUUCUCUGACACGUUUACUCAGCGCUUCCAAAACAAGAGUCCAUUCUUCUCCUGGUGUUGAAGAUAGGAGUUGAAUCAAGUGUUUGUGAAUCAGUGUCAGUCAAAUGAUGGAACUGUCCCAUGCGUCGCGCGAAUAAUGUUGCGACUGCAGAUUAAUCAAGAGGAGAUGGUUAUCACAUUUAGGCUGUAUUUAUAAUCUCUUUUUUUCCUCAGUUU